UUUUGGUGCGGCCACCGACAUGGGGCUGUCUCUUCACUCUCCCUCCCGUCNAUUAAUUGUGGGGCUGGGAUGCUUGUGAUCGGUAGNUUNGUAGUUGUACCCUGUUGUGGGUAGCGAAGUUGUCCCUUGAUUGAUAUUUGCUUGCCUUUCUGACAUUUUCUGGUCGUUUGGGAAGCCGUAAUGGCAAAAUCCAUGUGUAGGUGCGUGGUCGAAUGGCCUUGUUUCUAUCACUUGGAUUUUUGUCACCUCUCGCAGAUGCAGUGCCUAGUGCUAGCUCUGCGUGACUUUACUCCGCAGACCUCGGGAGGUCCCUUGUACGAAUCAUUGCGAUGUGGGUGCCGUUUGUCGUGUUGCUUGUUUGGCACGCAAAUCGUAUUGUUCUGUCUGGAGUCGGGAUGACGAAGGGCAAGAAUGAAGUAUCCGAAGCGUGGUUGCNUACAUNGGAAUGCCUCUUCGAUCGUAUGAGCAGCGAUUUCCGGCUUGUGUCCUGCGAAGGCCCGCCCGUUUGGGUUGGUGCCGGAGCUGAUGCGUCGGUACUCGUG
rnacentral:misc_RNA from 1 species